rnacentral:rRNA from 1 species
GAUGAACGCUGGCGGCGUGCCUAAUACAUGCAAGUCGAGCGAACAGACGAGGAGCUUGCUCCUCUGACGUUAGCGGCGGACGGGUGAGUAACACGUGGAUAACCUACCUAUAAGACUGGGAUAACUUCGGGAAACCGGAGCUAAUACCGGAUAAUAUAUUGAACCGCAUGGUUCAAUAGUGAAAGACGGUUUUGCUGUCACUUAUAGAUGGAUCCGCGCCGCAUUAGCUAGUUGGUAAGGUAACGGCUUACCAAGGCAACGAUGCGUAGCCGACCUGAGAGGGUGAUCGGCCACACUGGAACUGAGACGCGGUCCAGACUCCUACGGGAGGCAGCAGUAGGGAAUCUUCCGCAAUGGGCGAAAGCCUGACGGAGCAACGCCGCGUGAAUGAUGAAGGUCUUCGGAUCGUAAAACUCUGUUAUUAGGGAAGAACAAAUGUGUAAGUAACUAUGCACGUCUUGACGGUACCUAAUCAGAAAGCCACGGCUAACUACGUG